rnacentral:rRNA from 1 species
AUUGAACGCUGGCGGCAGGCUUAACACAUGCAAGUCGAGCGAGCGGCGGACGGGUGAGUAAUGUCUGGGAAACUGCCUGAUGGAGGGGGAUAACUACUGGAAACGGUAGCUAAUACCGCAUACCAUCAGAUGUGCCCAGAUGGGAUUAGCUAGUAGGUGGGGUAAUGGCUCACCUAGGCGCCGAUCCCUAGCUGGUCUGAGAGGAUGACCAGCCACAGUGGAACUGAGACACGGGCCCAAAUCCUACGGGAGGCAGGAGGGGGGAAUAUUGGACAAUGGGGGCAAGGCUGAUGCAGCCAUGCCGCGGGUGUGAAGAAGGCCUUCGGGUUGUAAAGCACUUUCAGCGAGGAGGCGUUACUCGCAGAAGAAGCACCGGCUAACUUCGUGCCAGCAGCCGCGGUAAUAC